CAGAAGUACCUCCAUGAUCUCACCCCAUAAUCUGACCUCAUCUUCUUUCUUCCUCAUUUUUCACUGGUGAUCAUACUGGCCACUUUGUUAUUGCCAGAACCAAACAAAUACACCUCUGCCUCACAAGCCUUUUGCACUAACCCUUCUUUUUGCAGGUGUCUGAAUGACUAUCUCCCUUACCUCCUUUAAGUCUUUGCUUAAAUGUCAUCUUCUCAAUGAGGCCUAUCUUGACCACCCUGUUUAAAACUCCAACCUGGGCCAGGCGCAGUGGCUCACGCCUGUAAUCCCAGCACUUUGGAAGGCCAAGGCAGAUCACCUGAGGUGCUGGGAUUACAGGCAUGAGCCACUGAGCCCAGCCAAUUUUAUUUAUUUUUAAAGACAGGGUCUUGCUCUGUUGCCUAGGCUGGAGUGCAGGGUCAUGGUCAUAGCUCACCGUAAUCUCCAAUUCCUAGGCUCAAGCAAUCCCCUAUUCUCAGCCUCCCAAAGUGCUAGCAAGGCAUAAGCCACCUUGCCCAGCCCCAGAUUUGCUUUAAAAAAAAAAAAAAAAUUUUAUUAAGGUGUAAUCCUCCCACUCUUCGUAUGGACUUUAAUGGUUUUCUGUAAAUUUAUAGUUGUGCAACUGUCACCACAAUCCAGCUUAGAGCCCUCCAACACCCACAAAAGCUGUCUUGCACCAGUUUGCAAUCAAUUCCCCUUCUCUCAGCCCUUGAAAUCACUGUUUGUCUCCACACUUUUUCCCUUUUUAGAAAUUUCAUAUAAAUGAAAUUAGACAUUAUAUAGUCUUUUGUAUGUCUUACACUUGGCAUAAUGUUUCUACUAUUCAUCCAUGUUGCUUCAUGGAUCAGUACGCCAUGAUCUUUUUACUGCUGAGUAGCAUUUUAUUAUACAACUAUAACACAUUUUGUUUAUCCAUUUGUCAGAUGAUAGACAUUUCAAUUGUUUCCAGUUUUGGGCAAUUAUGAACAAUACUGCCAUAAACAUUUGUUUACAUGUUUUAUGUUAACAUAAAUUUUCAUUUCUCUGGAAUGAAUACCUAAGAGUGGGAUUGCUGGGUCAUGUACUAGGAGUUGAACCUACAAGAAAUUACCAAACUGUUUAUCAUGUGGCACACAGCAUUUUGCAUGCUCAUCAUUGAUAUUCAUAGGAAUUCCCUAAUGACUGACACUGUGUACUUUUUAUGUGCUUAUUAGACCUAUCUUCUUAAGGGUAAUUCCUAUCCAAAUUUUUUGCCUAUCUUCCAAUUGGAGUAUUUGUUUACUUACUGAGUUGUAU
rnacentral:lncRNA from 1 species